GCUUAGAGUUUGAUCCUGGCUCAGGAUGAACGCUGGCGGCGUGCUUAACACAUGCAAGUCGAACGGUCUCUUCGGAGAUAGUGGCGGACGGGUGAGUAACGCGUGAGAAUCUGCCUUUAGGUUCGGGACAACAGUUGGAAACGACUGUUAAUACCGAAUGUGUCGCAAGAUGAAAGAUUUAUUGCCUAAAGAUGAGCUCGCGUCUGAUUAGCUAGUUGGUGGGGUAAAAGCGUACCAAGGCGACGAUCAGUAGCUGGUCUGAGAGGAUGAUCAGCCACACUGGGACUGAGACACGGCCCAGACUCCUACGGGAGGCAGCAGUGGGGAAUUUUCCGCAAUGGGCGAAAGCCUGACGGAGCAACGCCGCGUGAGGGAAGAAGGCUUUUGGGUUGUAAACCUCUUUUCUCAAGGAAGAUAAUGACGGUACUUGAGGAAUCAGCAUCGGCUAACUCCGUGCCAGCAGCCGCGGUAAUACGGAGGAUGCAAGCGUUAUCCGGAAUAAUUGGGCGUAAAGCGUUCGUAGGUGGUUUUGCAAGUCUGCUGUUAAAGCGUGUAGCUUGACUACAUAAUGGCGGUGGAAACUGCAAAAACUAGAGUGCGUUCGGGGCAGAGG
rnacentral:rRNA from 1 species